GUCUGUACUUGGAUGUUACUUCAUGAUCUGCAGAAAAUCUCUACAAAUAUGAGAGGUUUCUUAUUAAUAAUGUUUUAAACAAGUUUCCUAUAGACCUACAUGGUAAUUGUAGAAUGCGUGAAUUUAAAAAUCUGCUGAAAAAACAAUAUUCACACAUUUGGUUAUGUUACAACCACAAACCUCAGAGUAUUUUACAGGGAUAUUAUUUGAUGGAUAGACAAACUAGAACAUGAUUGUGAAGUCUUAAAACAAAUGUGUUGUUUUUUGACACAUUUUCUGUGUUAUCAUCAAGCAAACACAUCUUGUGUGUUUUCUACACAUCAUGUGUUGUUCUAGUUAAACAACUGGACACACACUAUGUGUUAAACCAUCGACCAAUCACAUCACUUCUUGGACAUCUUCAGUUCUGGAACUUUCCACAAGAUAAAAAAAAAAAAAGUCAGCUGAAGCAAACGCCAGUAAUGCUACUGCAGGUCGUCCUGAAAGUUACCCAUCCAGUGAUGACAAGUUGUGACUUGCCAAAAAUAUUGUCUCCAUUUCCCUAAACUAUGCGUCAAAAUCCAGGACCACAGUGAAGGAUAUGAACACUUCUAUGAUCCAGAUUCACACAAUGGUUUCAUUGAAAUGAAACUAUGAAACCUUAGGAGAGAUAUUGAGGAAAGCCAGACAAGAUACAGGUGAAAGACCAAGUCAGGAGGCAUUGUAACUCUUGUCAUGACAAACACGGAUGAGGACUUAAGUGAGUGGGUGACUCUGGCAAAAAGGAUGAAGCCCUCAUCUGAAAAUCUAACAACAAUCAAGCAGGGACCCAGACUUUCACUCAAAGGAGAAGACGGAUUACAACACAAUCUCCAACCCUGACUGAGAUAUUUCAACAAUAUCCACGGUUCAUUGACAUGCCAUGUCUGUUUGAUGCAGACUUUGGAAAACUCUUUGAAGGAAAGGCUGACAAUUUUCUUUGCAAAUGGGAGACGAACAUCAUCCCCAAGCUAAUGAAGAUCGCCUCCAGCAAGAUGUCUGAGGAUCUUCUGUCAACUUCUUCCUUCUCUGGAAACACCAAUGAUGGUGGCUUCACAGUUGUGUCUCCACUCCAAUCUGAUGUCCAAGUGAACACCAAGGACUUAUACUCCUCCACUAAGAGUCUAUCUUGUACUGGAAGACUGAUGUGUACAGAGUGAAAUGAAUGGUGCUCCUGUGCUGCUAUCUACCAGCAGAACUGGGAUCUUGAUGCACUGAAAGAGGGGGCUCAGGGACUGCAACGUGUCUGAGUCUGCUAAGGGAGAGGAGCAGUUAGGCGAGGCCAAAAGGAGAACUGAGCAAACUUGGAUAAAACCAAAACAUGGGGCUGGGGAUAAAAAUCCAAACCCAACAACCUUACAUUCUGUGCCUGGGACAUCCAAGUGGAGCAACACAUCAGUAUGUCAUCGUGGCAAAAACUGACAAGAUUGCCAUUCCACUUAAAGAUGAAGGCCUGACCUGCUCUCUUGACAAGCUGUUUAAGAUGUAUUGGGUCUGCAACCUUGCCUACCCUGCCAACUGCUUUCUGUCUUCUCUUCCCUUGAGCACAUUUAUGAGAUGCCGAUAUCUGUGGUCGCCACAGCAGAUCAUCUACCUCCAUCUCAGCCCAUCCUUUGCCUCUUGAACUGUUACACCAACUAUCUCCAUGUCCUCCUUCACCAUGACCAAGCCGGCAGCUUCAUCUCCAGCAUCUUCUUUCUAAUCCAGACCAUCCUCUAAGACAAAAGACAGGAACAUCGGGACCGCAUGGGCCUAGAGAUCCAAACCAGGUUGAAGUUAGAAGCAGACCAUGAGACCUACUCCUUGAGGCUUCUGGGAUUCUGACGAACUCUUAAUAAAUCUUGUGAAAUGUCAAAUUUUCUAACCAGAUCAGAGUUUAUUUGCUGGCUCAGCAGCUAUUCUCAGUCUGUAGUAAAUCAUAACUAGUGCUGCUCAUUUGUUUUGUGUUAAUUAGUGGUGAAUAAGUCUUUUUAAGUUUUUUGAUUCCAUUAAUACAUUUUUAUUGUGGAUUUUUUUAAGCACUGUAUACUAAUGAAAUCAGUCCUCCUCAUGCACCUCCGCUGUGCAUCUCUGUGUUUGGGUCUCAACACCAGCAUGACUCCGGAUUCUUCUUUCAAUACAUCUGAAGUAUUGGGCUCAGUGGGAACUGAAUUGAUUCAUUUUUCAGAUGAGGUUGUUUCCUGUCUUACUAUGAUUACUAUUUAAAUACUAUUUAAAUCAUUUACUAUUACUUAAUAUCAGUACUUAGUGUGUCCAAAUGUUAGAAAUAAGCAGGUGCAGCUUUAGAUGGUUUGAUUAUAAGCUAUGAACAAAAUAUUAUGAACUGAAUAUUAAAACUGGCCGACUCCUGACCUUCUAAUAAAUCCCAUGCUUUCUGUUUCCUGUUAGGUUAGAGAUGUUGCUGGGUCGAAUAAUUUGCAGACUAGCUUGUGUGAGAUCUCGUACUUUGACCAAAUCCCCCUCUGAAGUAGAACCUAAUUGGUUGGUGCUGGAGCCUAGGAUGUGAUCAGGUCCGUGAGUGCAGGUUUCUACAGGUUCUAGCUUGAGUAUUCUUUGUUAAUAACUCCUACUGUCCAGUGAGAGAUCUACUGAUUUGUGAUGUGUCCAUCUUCAUUGGGUUAAACCGUAAACAGUAAUACAGUUGAUCGCUUCUCUGAAAAGCUUUAAUCCUGUCCAUGUUGGCCCGGAGCACUUUAAUUUAGCAAAGCUUUUUGACACGCAAACUCAAUGCAGAAGGACCCCAGGCUGGGAUUUGAACCCAGGACUGUUUUGCUGCAAAGCAACAAGCGCUGUAGAAGAAGAAUGUUUUCUUAGUUUAAUUCGCAGCUUUAUAAUUUCAUUUAGACUCGAAGGAAAUUUGAAUGAAAACAGUUUUCUCAGAUUUUAAUGUAACAACACCACAAUGAAAGACACUCCUGCUUCUUCCUGAUGACCUUUGACUCUACAGGCACAAACUGACAAAUACUUUAGCUAGCACCAAUGAGUUAAUUCUCCACUGGCAGUGAUUAUUUCUGUUUUUUAUUACAGUGACCUGAAGUCGUGUGCUUUGUGUUUGGUUUGGCGAGCACCCAUCCUUAUAUUCCCGUCUGUGAAUCUGUUACAGAACAUUUUACUGCUUGUAUUUUGACUCCCUUCUACUACGACCCUCGGGAUGAUAAAAAAAAAAAAAAAAAGCAUUGCAUGGCAUUGGCUUGCAUGGAAAUCACUUUAUUUGCUUUGUCUUUAAAUUGACAUUCACACACAAAACUGAAUUAAAAUCAACAGGAGAUUCAACUGAAGAAACAAAUCAGAGAAACACAGACCUGUGUGAGACGGCUGAUGUCGAUAAGAAAUCAGCAAAAAAUACAACUGUAACAGUGUUGGUCAUAUCACAAAGCUAAUAUAGUUGGUCAUCACCUUUGACAUUACUCGGAGAUUUAAAAAACAUAACGAAAUAAUCAAAACUGAAGAAAAGAUUUUAAAAAUUUGUAGACAUUUAAAUGAACAUGUUUAGUUUUGUGUUCCUGACUGUUGAAGUGAGGUUGACCAUCAUGGUCUCAGGCCUUCAGGAAGAAGAUUGUAGCAGUUUAUGAGUUUGGUAAAAGGUUUAAAGAGCAAUUCUACUUUACACAAAAUAGUCUACAAGUAGAGGACAACUCCCAGCAUGCCGAGGUCUGGUUGUCAAAGCAGGUUUACCCUGAAAAAAGCCAAAAUAAGUCUCCAAAAACCCUAAAAUAGGACCUACAACAGGCUCUUGCUACUGCUGAUCAGAUAUAAAAAAUUAGACAUCAAUAAUAAUAAUUCCUAAUAAAGAGCUAAAUAUCUGAUGGAGUGACUGUACUCAUUAAACUAAUAACCUAGAUUAAACCUGGUGGUAAAACAUAGUGAGAUUUUUGUUUUUAUCACCGUCUUCCACUGUGAAAUAAGGAGAACUACCAGUCAUUAUGUUACCAUGAUGAAAAUAUGUUGCUUAUUUAAAAUGAAUACUUUGCUUCUCCAUAUUGUACAGUUAAAUUGUGUUGUAGUAUUUUGUGUAGCUAACAAGUGAAAUUACCAAUUUGAAUAUUAUGUCACAUUGACUUUUGAUCUCAGCUUUAUUUAAGACCUUUCAACACACAUCGUUGUUUGAAGCUUACUAGGUGAUGGAUAUAAUCUGAUUGCAUAAAACAUAUAAAAUCUAGUGUCACAUAAGGUCCAACGUCUGACUGGAUGAAUGCCGUUUCUGCUUCUUUAAACAAAAUACAAUUUAAGCUUCUGGGAAAUGUUUUUUUUACCCUGUUUUUUUAAACAGUUUUUGAAACAGCGUCCAACGUUUCACUAUUAAAAGUCUGUUUUGAUGUCUUUGUGGCAUAGGUUUUUCAAUGCUGCAGGAGCAGAACUGAACCAUGGUAGGAACUGGGAAUGUUUGAGAAGAAUCACAACGUGCUUUUCCCAUUUUUAUCCUCAGUUAAACAUCGGAACUAUUAAGAAUUUUAAGGAAACACUUGUGGUACUUAUCAGUAGGUAGAGUUGUUGUCUUGUAAUCGGAAGGUUGUGAGUUCGAUUCCACCAUCCUCUUAUCACAUAUUGAUGUGCCUCUGGUAUGAGUGAGUGCCAUUGGGUGUGAAAGUGGGUCUGGUGUAAAGCAACUUGAGUGCUUUACACCAAAACUUUAUAUAAAGUCCAUUUAUAAACCUUCUAUCAGGGCUGCAAAGCUACUCCUGGAUUACCUUUACUGGUACGUCAUCAUUUAGCAGCUUGUGAUUUAAGUUUCAUUAAAGUAAUGAUAAUGGUUUCCCAUUUUAUCAGGAAAUGUUGAAUGUUUUCUGAUUUAUUAUUACUGUUUUAUUACUGACUACUGACAGACUAUUUAAACAUCGCAGUGUUUUUACGUUGGCAUACAUCAUUAUGACUAACUCAUUGUACUCAGUGUUACCAGGUAUUACAAAUAUUACUCCACUCAGCUGUAAUAUGGUGCAACAAAAUCCAUUGAAUUUUUCAUAUAAAAAAUGAUUUAUUUUUCUUUAUUGUUUCAUUUUACAUGUUUGUGUUAAAAAAACAGCAUGAAGACACAGACUGUGUUAGUAUUGAUCUUUGAAUUCCUUAUAUAAGCUCGGUGUAUAUAUAACGGUCUCUGUGGACAUGGCUGACAGAUAGAUUUCCACUUCAAAUGAUGAAACACACAUAUUUACAUACACAAUAAUUAUUUUUCAUCAGAGCAGGAUCAAUGAAUCAUAGAUGUCCUCGGCUAGAUCUUCAGGAUCGGAAUGAAUCCAACAAGUGGGCCAAGAAACCAUCAGGCUACCCUGGUAGCAGAAAUGCAGAAACACAAAAAACAGAUUGAUGCACAGCAGCAGUAUCUCCUCUAAGGGCAUUGCUGAUGUCUUUCCGCCCUGGCAUUGUGUUAACACAAGCCUGUAUUCUCCUGAGCUACAGAGAUGUUCAGAGUGAUGAAGAUUGGGUUGAUUUGAUCAGCAGGACCAGGCUGCUACUUUCCCUCCUCCAUCCUAUGGAAGCAGCAACGUCUGGUUAGUUUUUUACAGGUUUUUUAUGUUGUCCAAGUUUUUUAUUCGAGAAAUCUUUAUCUUACAUUACCAGUCAGGUUUGGACACCUUUAAUCAGAAAGUGUAUCUAAACUUUUGACUGGUAGUGUAUGUCGAAGCGUAAUCAUCAUAAUGGGAGUGAUUAUUUCAUUGCGAUAGAUUCCAUUUCCACACAUCAAGGCACCUACGUUUCAGACAACUUGUCAGAACAAUUCGUUUGCUAACAUGGUGCUCUGUUUUUUAGCAAAUGUUCUGACACGCAUAGAUUCCCAGAUGUGUUACCAUAUAUAUAACCUC